AAGUCGUAACAAGGUUUCCGUAGGUGAACCUGCGGAAGGAUCAUUAACACGUAUCCAAACGUUAAACCCCCCCCGUGAACCUUCAUCGUGCUCUAGUAUUCCUGGUAAAUCAUUGUCUGAACAAGCCUUUGAGUCAGGAACCUCUGUGCAGUGCGAGCUACACCCACUAUAGAAGCGCUAGUUCCAUCGGCAUUGUUUCCCCAAGCAGCCAGUGCGUGAAAGUGGCAACUGACUGUGCAAGGAUAACGCUUAACGAUUUUGCAGCCGCAACACGCGGGCAGAGCUUUGCCAAAGGGUCCCCAUGCCCCUUCCUUCUGCCGAUUUCACAUACAAAGCUCCAUUUUCAAUUAUGGAUGGGGUAAAACCGAACAACUGUUAACAAUGGAUAUCUUGGUUCUC
rnacentral:misc_RNA from 1 species